AAUCUUGCGCAGUGGCAAUAUCGUCACCAAAGAAAGGUCUCCUGAGGUGUGAUUAUUGCUAGUUGAAAACUUUUACCAAUUCUAAGAUAUUGAACAUUCUUCACAGAG
rfam:Rhodnius prolixus Rhodnius_prolixus-3.0.3-64.8, whole genome shotgun sequence.